rnacentral:lncRNA from 1 species
CCUGAGAAUGGUCUCCUUACUCUUCCUCCCUCCUGCUGGGCCAUCUCCUGCCCCUGGGCCUUGGUCUAGUCUGUUCUUUGACCUGCAAGGCCAUGUGGCCGGCUCCUCCCCUUCCGCUCACUCGCCCAUUGCUGCAUUUUGAUUUUCUGCAUUCUGUGCAUACUACGGCUCACCCUCCACUCUCUUCUUUGGCUGUUUGUCUGUCCACCUGGCCCUCUCCAGUGGCAUACGGCUUCUGGGACAGCCCUGAGCUUGCCAAGUUGCUCCAGCUAAUCCCUGGCCUCUUGGAGAGCCCUUGGUCCAUGGUGGGUGUUCAGAAGCUCCAUGGAGGAGGGAUGAGUGAAUGCUGUGCUGAGGCCCUCACAGGCAGGUCCCUGGGUGUUCCUCUGGUUGCCUGUCUGCAAACAAAGCCACAAUGGCUCUCCUGCCUGGACCCCAGUGCUGGAGGACAAUUCCUUCACCCUGGCUCAGGCCAUGGCCAGAGGAACAGUAGGAAAAGCAACUUGAGAAGUGGCUGCAGCUUCUUAGAGAAUGUGCCCAGCCAGCCCAUGGAGGAUGAGAGGCCCCCCGAGGAGAACUGCGGCCAGCAGACAGGUACUGGCACGUGAGUGAGGCCAUCUGUGUUGGUCAAGUCUCCAAAAUGCAGUAGCCAAGGCGUCCUGCAGUGUGAGCAAGGAUUUUAUCAGGGGAAAUGUCUGCAUGAAGGAAAAUGGACAGGCUCAGGAAAGCCAGGGGAGCUGUCAGGUCCCAGUGCACAUCUGUCCCUGAGGGAGGGGACAGAGAGGAAGGCUGGAAGGAAUGUUCUAGACUGCCAGGUAUGGCAGAGUCCUUGGGGAGUCCCUACACUGAAGCUGGCAUCA